rnacentral:rRNA from 1 species
GACGAACGCUGGCGGCGUGCUUAACACAUGCAAGUCGAACGGAAAGGCCCUGCUUUUGUGGGGUGCUCGAGUGGCGAACGGGUGAGUAACACGUGAGUAACCUGCCCUUGACUUUGGGAUAAAUUCAGGAAACUGGGGCUAAUACCGGAUAGGAGCUCCUGCUGCACGGUGGGGGAUGGAAAGUUUCGGCGGUUGGGGAUGGAAUCGCGGCUUAUCCGCUUGUUGGUGGAGUAGUGGCUUACCAAGGCUUUGACGGGUAGCCGGCCUGAGAGGGUGACCGGCGACAUUGGGACUGAGAGACGGCCCAGACGCCUACGGGAGGCAGCAGUGGGGAAUAUUGCACAAUGGGCGGAAGCCUGAUGCAGCAACGCCGCGUGCGGGAUGACGUCCUUCGGGUUGUAAACCGCUUUCGCCUGUGACGAAGCGUGAGUGACGGUAAUGGGUAAAGAAGCACCGGCUAACUACGUG